UGCACCCGGUAUAUAAACUCCAAUGAAAUUUGUUUUCAAUAAUGCCGCUUUCAAAUUGACGAUCAAUUUCGUUAAAUUUGAUUUACACUAUUGAAAAUAUUUUGAAAUUAAAUUUCAUAAUUUUUCGGCAUCAUUUAUCUAUCAAACGAGUAAUUUAAAAAUGAACGAUUAAAAAUAAAAAUCUCAUAAACAAUAAUGAUAAAUGACUUGAAUUUAAGAUCAGAUGUACUGAUCGUACUCUAAAUAGUGAAAAAAAAAUUUAUAAAAAAUUUUUCUGAUUUGGACGGUUUACACCGUUAAAGUGACAAACGUAUCACAUCGACCAUUAAAAUUGUCAAUUUUGAGACAUUUUGAUCACUAACCAAAUGAUAUCAAAAAAUUAUAAAAUUUAAUUUCUAAAUACUUUUAAUAAUGUAGAUCAAGUUUAACGGAAUCGAUCGUUGACUUGAAAGCCGUAUAAUUGAAAACAACUUGGUAGCACGAAGACCUCCGUGCUACUGAUAGUAUACCAGUCAAAUUCUCUCUCUCUCUCUCUCUCUCUCUCUCUCUCUCUAUAUAUAUAUAUAUAUAUAUAUAAGUUUGGGUACAAUCCUAGGGUGCUACUAUCAUCCAAACUAUACAUGUUUUCAUCCAAGAGCCAAAAAUCUAAUAUCACUAAUAAUUAACUUGGUGUUAUUACAAGCAUUCCAGUAUAUGGAUGUAUGCAUGAAUAUUUAUAUAUAUCAUAUAUG
rnacentral:lncRNA from 1 species